AGAAGGGCCGGCCACCCCAAACUGGAAGCAGGACAACAUUGCCACCUCAAAUAGUCUUUCAAACUGAACAUCAUAUACAUCUUUAAAUACAUAUCCUCCAGGGCCACUUUAACUCCUGGUGGGAGCAGACAGUGAUGAUGUAUGGGAGCCAGGCCCAGCAGAUUCUCAUUGGUAUUUGUCUAGGCAGCUACAGAAUGGAUCGUUCCCAUAAUCAACAGCAGAUUAUCAUUGGAUAAACACAUGGCGAUUG